AAAAAAAAAAUUUUCAGCAGAAUGCGCGUUGGUAUAACAAUUGGAGUAGAUAAGUUACUCAAACUUAAUUUUAAUGACAGCACUUGUUUCAUUGAUCAUUAUAAUGUUUAAAAACUAAAAUAUAUUUUCAUGUACACAAAUUUAAUGUUUUAAAAACAUUAGUUAAACUUGUUGUCCUAGGGUUAACAAAACCUCGUAGCAGAUUUGCAAGCUCACACCAUCAAUCUCUAGAGUACUUUUGAUUUAAUGUAAAAUUAAAUUCUAUCACAUAGAAAACAUGUUUAUAUUAUUAUCUUAAGCUUAAUUUACAUAAAUAAUUAAACAAUUCAAAAAAGCAUUAUUAUUAUAAGUAUUAUACUUAUGCUUCGUAAAAAAAAACAAAAAUAAAUAACAAUAGGUAUUAUACAUUAUUCAAUGAUCUGCAUACAAAAAAAAUUAUUGGUAUUUCCUAAUUACACAAUCAAAAUAUAAACUUUUAUGGUGUUUCAUCACACAAAACAAAUACUUUCUGGCAUUUAUUAUAUUUAUAAUAUUGAAAAUCACAAAGCUAAAUUUAUAAUGUAAAUUAAUAAAUUAUGA